GAUCCGGUUGCGUUCGUCCUUGGGCAUAUGAUACGGACGAAACUAACACGGCGACCCAAAAUUUAGAGAGAGAAAUGGGAGGACAUGGAGCUAUAGAGGUGGCGAAGACGGUGAUGGAGGUUGCUGAUGUGGCGUGGACCGCCAUGGAACACGGCCGCCAUCACCUCCACCACGAGGACCACGACGGUCAGGGAACGGUUUCCGACGAAGAACUGGAGGCUCUGCGGGCGGAGAAUCGGCGGCUGAGGAACUCGCUGGAGCAGAAUCUGAAGCUGCUCGAGAACCUCUCCGAGUCGCCUGCGGUUUUGGACGAUUGCCCUCCUGAUGUAAACGAUUUGGGGUCGAUUUAUUUCGAUUCGCUGUAUGCUCGGUUAGUGGCGACGGUGGAUUCGAACAGCUUCUUGACUAGAAUCAAAGCUCUUCAGAAGGAAUCCAUUGAUGAUUAUCAGUUUCCUUUCAAACCAGCCACAGGAAGUGAUUUGGAGAAAGCUGAAGUUCAAAUCAAAAUUGACAAUGAAGAAGCCAGUUGGUGGGUGUGGAUCACGGAUGAUAUGAUUCCGGGUAAAGUCGAGGAGAGGAGUGGGAUUGACAAUGAGAGCUAUGUUGUUGUUAGUGAGGAGCAUGUGGUGGAUGGGAUUGCCAAUUUUAUGGCCAAGUGUAUUGUGUCAAACCCGAAAGCUCGCAACUUGACGCCAGAGGAGCUGCAGAAAAAUUUAGUGGGCAAUAGAGAAUGUGUCUACCGAAGCUCAUCCUUGGGAGUCUAUAAUUUGCAGUUGUAGCUAAAGCAAUGGGUGGUGUCGGCAAAUUGGAGAAAGUAUUGGGCAUUUGGCAUGCAGGGAAGUUGUUCUAUACUUUGUCCACUUGGGGACUUGCUCUAACUGGAUUGUAUAGGAGCCGUGCGGUAUUAAAAUUUGCGGCGAUGGGGCUGCACACAACUAGCAAAGCAAUUAUGAGAGCAAUGUGAGGCUCCCUGCCCUACUGCCGCUAAAAACGAAGAUUGGAACUGUGCAAUAACGUCACUGCAGGUUUAUAAGAAUCCCAUUUGAUGUAAAUAAUUGUAAACAGUGCUUGUUCUUGUUUCUGCCAUGGUUUCAUUGACUGAUUUCAUGUACUGAACCAUUGAUUGAUUCUGCGUGUUUCCGCAUCCAGUGCAGAUGACAUGCAACUGCUGAAUGCUUAAUGAACUAUUUUAGUUACUGAACUGCAAUUGCUAGAAAUGGAAAAGGAAAAAAAUGUCGAAUUAACAAAAA